GCAAGAGAUAGGAGGAAAAAGAGGACAGCGGCUCCGAGCUCUCCGUCUACCGCUGCUUGGCGUCAGAUGCGCCCAUGUCCAGGGAGAAAGAAGUCAGGGAGACGUCUGCGUCAAAGUCCCGAGAUGCUGCUGACUCGCUCAUGCCCGUCGGCCUGUUUGGAGAAUGACCAGUUGAUUGGAAAAACACCAAAAAAUGUGCCUCUAAACCCCAAAUAAUCCAACGACACGAUUUUCCCCCCUUAACCCUUAAUUAAUAUACAAAUAACAGCUCGACCACUGUGCGCUCACGCCGACCCACUGCAGGCCAAAAGUUGCAGAAGGCCAAACGAAACCUUCCGCAAGUUCCAGUUCUUCACUCCCCCGCUGAAAGAAGUGUCCCAGAGAAAUUCUGCAGCUCCGUGCGUAAAGAGCAACAAGCGGUGGAAAGGAGAAGGGGAAAAAACAAGGCUCUUUUUGUCUGCGCCGGCCGAGGCUUUUUAUCCCCGCAUUGCAGAGUGUUGUCUAGCAUUACAAAUCUCAGCCCCGGCCUGGAUGGACACGGGAGGGCUCUGCUGCUGGCCCUGCUCACGCUGUCUGCAUCCUUUACGCUCUGCCAUGCAAAUAAACCCAAAAUGAGAGAGCAGCUGAAGGGAAAGAGCAGUGGAGAUGGAGGGUUGUUGAAGGAAAAAGAAAAAGAGAAGGAAAAAAGACGAUGGACGGAAGGGAAAAAUCAGGGGAAGAAUGAAGGAUGGGAUAGCCGGAGGGAGGAAAUAGUGAAAUGUAUGUGGCAAGUAAGGAAGGGAAGGGAGGAAAUAGUUAGUUUCAAGUAGUUGCAUAGGGACAAAAAGGAGAGUAAGUCUGUGUGUGCAGAGAGAAAGAGAGAAAAAGAGCGGGUCCUAACCGGCCAUUGGAGGGGUGAGGAAUGCCCGGCCCUGGCACCGGAGAAUGGGAUGGAGGGUGGAGUAUGUUCACAUUGCUGCUGCCAGCUGAGCACAUUCCCACUACAGAGUCAUGGAGACUUUUUAACCUACAGAUUUUGAAGGAGCAGCUUCCCUCAGAAGAGUUUUCCCCACUGGGGCACAGUAACAUGGCUCCAACAGUGAUUUACUUCAGUAAACGCUGCAGGAAAAGGGCUUCUGAGAGGACAGAAAGGUGCACUGAAAUCAUCUGCUGGCAGGCGUGAGCAAUAAAGAUUAUUUUUAGCAGUUUUUGUUUUGUUUAAAUUGUAAAGUCGACAGCGAAGAUUGAGAAGAAGUUUGGCAAGAUGGGCCACAAAGAUCCCACUGUGGGACUCGAUUUAGAGACGCUGUGACUGUGGUGUGUGUCUCAGACCGCAGCACAAUUUAUGUUUUUAUUAUAGGCUGUAACAUUCUCCUUUAGAAAGAAUGAGCCCCAUUACACCAUAGAAAUAUACUUAAGUAAGACUGGAGCACAAAAUUACAUUAUAUAUAUUUUAUACGAUAUGAGGUGGUCAUCUAUUGUCCUUUUUAUUUAACUGCUCUUCUACUCAAGGAAAACUACAAAAAUACACUAAUUCACUUAUUCAUAAAAUUACUCACUAACUUUAAUUCAGUUCAAAACUAUCUGUGGAGGCUGAGGCAAGUGCAUCAGCAAACGCAAGAAAAAAAGAGAAAAGACAUCUCACUAAUUAAAACAAUCUAAAAAUACAAAACGCAAUCAAAUAAUAGAGUUAAAAAUACAAUAUCGGCAGUGACAAACCCAUAGCUGGGCACUACCUCAAAAGGCACAUAUUGCCAAAAAGUGUGCCUUUGUUAAGCUAUAUAUACGAGGAGGAACUUGAUGUGCUGUUACACCACAAUUGUGCACGUCUUACAGCUUCUGGACCCAAACCAGGUUUUCUUCUGUUUUUACGUACGGACCGUGUAUAAUACAAUCCUGCGUUCUUCAGAGGUAUAACAGAGGACAUGUGUGUGGUCACUGUGAAUCUGAGGAUGUGCUCGGUGUUAGGCUGAGCGAGUGAUCUCUGACAGCGCUUGUCUGACAAUGUGAGAAAAAAAAUAUUCCCUCUUGUUUGCCACGAAACCAAUUCAUUUGCAUUGGAACUACAGAUAUUUAGUUAAACAAAAGGAUUGAGUGUUUUCUUUUAUUAGGCUUUUAAAUUCUUCCUCACAGCAUUUCAGAGGUAAAUUUUCGACUUUUCACUCCGCCACAUUUAGUCUGCAGGCACUUUGGUGAUUAAAAUGAACAUAAAGCGUGAAUAUCUUCUAACAUUUGUUACAAAUUGUGAAGUAAAAAUGUUCACAAAGUAAUUAAAACAGCUGCAGCUUUAAAUGCAACCUUCACACCAAUGCAUGUGUAUAAAAACGUAGCAUUAUGUGAUAUUUGGCAAUACUAUAAUUUUGUAUAUAAAUCUUUAGUAUUUUCACGUAUGCAUGCUUUUGAAUGCUUUUUAAUAUAAUCCAAUAACUUUUAUUAAACUACUUCUGCUGAAGUUAAGGAUACAAACACUUACUUCACCA